UGCUCAAUGAUUUAAUUAAUUAAAUGGCCGCAGUAUUUUGACUGUGCGAAGGUAGCAUAAUCAUUUGUCUUUUAAUUGUAGGCUUGUAUGAAUGGUUUGAUGAAAAUCUUGCUUUCUUUAUAUUAUUAUUUAGAAUUUAAUUUUUCAGUUAAAAAGCUGGGAUAUUUAAAUGGGACGAGAAGACCCUAUSGAAUUUUAUUAUUAAUUAUUAAUUUUUGUUUUGUAAUUUAGUUAUAUAUUUUAGUAGUUAAUAAUUUUGUUGGGGUGACAGAGGGAUUUAUUAAACUCCCUUAUYAAUUAUUUAUUUCGUAAAURSUAAUAUAAUUGAUCCUAUAUUAURGAAUSAUAGAUCAAAUUACC
rnacentral:rRNA from 1 species